UCCAGACUCCUACGGGAGGCAGCAGUGGGGGAUAUUGCACAAUGGGGGCAACCCUGAUGCAGCGACGCCGCGUGAGCGAUGGAGUACUUCGGUAUGUAAAGCUCUGUCAGCAGGGAAGAGAAUGACGGUACCUGACCAAGAAGCCCCGGCUAAAUACGUGCCAGCAGCCGCGGUAAUACGUAGGUGGCAAGCGUUAUCCGGAUUUACUGGGUGUAAAGGGCGUGUAGGCGGGAAAGCAAGUCAGAUGUGAAAACCAUGGGCUCAACCUGUGGCCUGCAUUUGAAACUGUUUUUCUUGAGUACUGGAGAGGCAGACGGAAUUCCUAGUGUAGCGGUGAAAUGCGUAGAUAUUAGGAGGAACACCAGUGGCGAAGGCGGUCUGCUGGACAGCAACUGACGCUGAGGCGCGAAAGCGUGGGGAGCAAACAGGAUUAGAUACCCUUGUACUU
rnacentral:rRNA from 1 species